AACUUCACCCCCGGAAAGAAGAGAAACUGAAGCUAAUCUGUCCUUCUUGUAGUCUUAGAAGUUUGUCUUGAUCUAGGCGUCACACUUCGCCACAACUCAGUGUUGUCUCCACUCAAGGAUUGUGGAGCAUCUUUUUCAAAACCUGACGACCUCAUUAUCAAUAAAUUCACUCCACAAGGAACCGAAUUAUUGAAGACAAUCCCCCACAGAAGCCAGACUGACUUCCCAAUGGUGAAUGUGGGACCUCCAGGAUCUGAAAAAAAAGAAAGAAGAAUAAAGGACCACUGCAGAGCCUCCACUGAUGCCCACAAUUGGCACAGCUGUCUGUGU